rnacentral:rRNA from 1 species
GACGAACUGUGCGAACGUUAUUCGGAAUGACUGGGCGUAAAGAGCGUGAAGGCGGCAUUAUAAGUUGUGUGUAAAAGCCUGGGGCUUACCCCCAGAACCGCAGACAAUACUGUAAAGCUAGAAUGCAAGAGAGAGGGGUAGAAUUCUCGGAGUAGCGGUAAAAUGCGUAGAUCUCGAGAGGAACACCGAAGGCGAAGGCAGCCCCUUGGCUUGUAAUUGACGCUGGAGCGCGAAAGCGUGGGGAGCAAACAGG